rnacentral:rRNA from 1 species
AGAGUUUGAUCAUGGCUCAGAAUGAACGUUGGCGGCGUGGAUUAGGCAUGCGAGUCGUGCGAGAACCGUAGCAAUACGGGGACAGCGGCGAAAGGGAGAGGAACACGUGGAUACCUACCCUCAGGUUCAGGAUAGCUAUGGGAAACUAUAGGUAAUACUGAAUAAUAUCUCCGGAUCAAAGGUGUGAUUCCGCCGGAGGAGGGGUCCGCGUCCUAUUAGCUAGUUGGUGAGGUAAUGGCUCACCAAGGCGAAGAUGGGUACGGGAUGUGAGAACAUGAUCCCGCUCAUUGGGACUGAGACACUGCCCAGACACCUACGGGUGGCUGCAGUCGAGAAUCUUCGGCAAUGGGGGGAAACCCUGACCGAGCGACGCCGCGUGUGAGAUGAAGGCCUUCGGGUUGUAAAUCACUGUCGUAGAGGAGGAAGUGUAGGUGGGUUCUCCCACUUAUUUGACCUAUUCUAGGAGGAAGGACGGGCUAAGUUCGUG